rnacentral:tRNA from 1 species
GCUCCCGUAGUGUAGCGGCCAAUCAUGCGGGCCUCUCGAGCCCGCGACCCGGGUUCAAAUCCCGGCGGGAGCACCA